rnacentral:lncRNA from 1 species
AAUUAUCUGCCAAGUUUCUUUGAAGAACUCUGAGGUAUACCCAUCUGGCCCUGGUGAUUUGUGCCCUGGCAUCUUGAAAAGAACCUCCUUAAUCUCCUCUUUUGUCACCUCCUUCACUAGCUUUCCACAAUCAAUCUCACUACAUUGAAAACCCAACAGCUCUCGCAGUCUCUCCACUGUUACUCCUUCAAAGUCCUCAGGAACAGCAUUCAGAAAUUGUGAGAAGAAACCCUCUGCUUCAACUUUUAUCUCCUCAUCAGUCUUAGCCAAUGUACCAUCAGCUCUCAUUACUUCUCGUAUACCAUUUCGCACUUCUCUAACUUUUAUCGCAUUGUGAAAGACCCUAUUGUUACCAUCGCCCACAUCAAGCCAAUGUAACUUCGAUCUUUGCUUGUAGAAUUCUUCCUCCAAGUAAGCUAACCGUUGCCAUCUUUCAUAAGCUGCUGCUUCUUCUCGUAUCGCGCUCGCUAGAGGUUGCUCCAAAGUGGCUUUUUGUUUCUCACAUA